rnacentral:rRNA from 1 species
UACGUAGGGUGCAAGCGUUGUCCGGAAUUAUUGGGCGUAAAGAGCUCGUAGGCGGUCUGUCGCGUCGGCUGUGAAAACUCGGGGCUCAACCCCGAGCCUGCAGUCGAUACGGGCAGACUAGAGUGCUGUAGGGGAGACUGGAAUUCCUGGUGUAGCGGUGAAAUGCGCAGAUAUCAGGAGGAACACCGGUGGCGAAGGCGGGUCUCUGGGCAGUAACUGACGCUGAGGAGCGAAAGCGUGGGGAGCGAACAGGA